UCCCUGGUAGUUCAUCUGGUAAAGAAUCUGCCUGCAAUGCAGGAGACCCUGGUUCGAUUCCUGGGUUGGGAG
rnacentral:tRNA from 1 species